CAUCCAAGCAAUUGCAUGUUUCGAUAGUUUCUUCUUUUGUAUUGACCUUUUAUCAUUCUUUUUUAUUUUUCCAUUCCAUUGUAUGGAUGUACCAGCAGUUUGUUUAUCUAUUUACCUGUUGAAGGACAUUUGGAGUCUUUCUCGUUUUUGGUGAUUACGCUUCUAUCAACUUUUCUGUUCAAGUUGUUGUGUGAACGUAAAAGAUCCUGCUUCAUUUGGAUGGCAACCAAGUCAGCCAUAUGGGAAGGAAAAUAAUCUAGUGAGUUGCAAAAUAAGAAAUCAUGGUCCAUGUGUUCCGUUGGAUGGCUUUCUUUGGGAUAUAAGCUCAAUGUGAAGUGGACUGUUGGUCAUCUGACAAAGGCAUAUUUUUGGCCCCAGUUAUCCAGUUAUAUGUCCACACUGGUAAUAUUAACCAAGGAAUUAUCUUUAUGUUGCGUAGACCUGAGUAAAAAAUACUUUAGGGCUGGCACCAUGGCUGAGCAGCAAGCACGACAGGUUAACUAUGGAGAAGAUACACCAGUACUCACACACACACACUCACACACACACAGACCCCACUUUAUUCUGUGCCAGAGCAGAGCUCCUGAAAACUGCUGCCAAGUGGCAGCCACCCAAGAGACUGCUGAAUUUCUGGCACUGGGCAGAAUCGAUGGCUGAGGCCAAGUGAUUGUUGCUGAACUCACCUGUGUCGAAAGGUCAGCCUUGCGGUGCUAAGGCUGGGCACAGGCACUCGAGGCAAAUUGGAUUGUGAAUGGAGGCCCUGAGGCAUGUUCUGCACUUUGCAACUGGUCUGGCAGGCUCCUCCACCUCCUGAGUCUGCCACAGGCAUGGGAAACACCUGGGCAGCGACAAAGGCAGGAUAAAGAAUUUUCAGGCUCAAAAUGUCAACUGUGCAGAGGUCAAAGAAAAACCCUGCUGUAGAGAAAGAGGAAAAAAGGGAGAGAAAAGGUGACUUUGCAAAUCUGAGUCUCUGUGACUACAGACACGGAAAUUUCAUCAAGAGCAAUUAGAAGCCCAGAAGUUUUGCUGAAUUAUUGGAUACGGGGAUGAAUCAUUUCAACCAGCUUGAGCUUGAGGUUAAUGUGAGAGACACAGCUGGCAGAAGCAGUAGGCAGAAACGUUGUUAAACUGAAGCGAGUAGGAGAGAAAGAGUGGGUUGAGAAGUAAUUCACCUUGGGGUGAUGGUUGAGACCACAAAAGCAGUUGAAAUGUUCAAAGACAUGUGGGAAAAGAAGAGUAAAGGCAUUUUACUAGUACUUUAGAAACAUAAAUCCUUCACAUAAAUAGUGAAUUUUUAAGUGAUAUACAGUAAGAAUUAUUCCUGCAAGCCCAUCUGUUUCAACAUGAGGAAUCAAAACCUGAAUACCAACCUUGCUAAAAUAAAGGUUCCUGG
rnacentral:lncRNA from 1 species